UAGUGUAGUAGUUAACGGCUAGUGAAAGUGUAGUUUAUUCUAAAGCUAACCAAAGUGCAAAUCACGUGACAUAUGUAGGGCGUGAACUCGUGUUCAUUCAGUAGGCAGUCAGUAAAGCACAAGGAAGGACGCAAAGCAAAGCAGCGAAGAAGGACACAAUGCCGGGAAGAAAGCUAACCAAUGCUAAUUGUGUGACGAUUGUUGAGAGUGCAUGUUCAUUCAGCAGACAGUUGGUAAAAGACAAAAAAACGAACACAAAGCAAGGAAGGAAGGCUUGAGAGCAGAGACUUUCAUUAUUUCCAUGCGUGGAAACUGAAAUGAUGACGGUCCUUGUUUAGAGAUCCAGACACUUUGUUCCCAAGGUGAUGUGAAAUGAUGCGAAGUGUUGUGUAUGUCUUCUGCCUUCACUCUACUAGACCACUACUGCCUGGAUCUUCAGUAUCUUCAGUUAGUACUGGAACUGUGAUGACACUGAGGAAAUAUUCUACAAUCUUCAACAUGGUUACGGUUGAAUUGUGAUUUCCACAUAGCAAUUGCUGUACAGUGUAAUGCCAGCAUGUAUGUUUUUCUAAGCAAGCGACAAGGUGUGUCAAUGCGGAAGCUGUGCAUCUGGACAGGAUGAGUGGUUGUAUUCCAAUGGCUGUAAGCAUGAAAUCACCUGGCCUUGUGUGGAAGACAUCUAUGAACAGAUCAACCAGAUGUAUACCUUCAAUUUAAAGAACUGUGAUGACACUGAGGAAAUAUUCUACAAUCUUCAACAUGGUUACGGUUGAAUUGUGAUUUCCACAUAGCAGUUGCUGUACAGUGUAAUGCCAGCAUGUAUAUUUUUCUAAGCAAGUGACAAGGUGUGUCAGUGCGGAAGCUGUGCAUCUGGACAGGAUGAGAGUGAUUGUAUUCCAAUGGCUGUAAGCAUGAAAUCACCUGGCCUUGUGUGGAAGACAUCUAUGAACGGAUCAACCAGAUGUAUAUCUCUAAUUUAAACUCCUGAAAAUCCCCAUGGUUGUUGGUGGUGCAGACAGAAUGUGAGCCAGGAAGUACAUCAUUCUGUAAAAGCCCAGACAUUCCAUAUGUAGGAGUACCUUCUUUCUUCAAGUG
rnacentral:lncRNA from 1 species